ACCUUCACCAUCCAGUCUCUGCAGCCGCAGCCACCCCCUCAGCCUCGGCCUGCUGCGGUGCUCCCCAACGCAGCUCCUGCAGUCCAAGCCCCUUGGAGGCCUGCCUGGAGGCUGAGGAAGCCGGCUUCCCUCUGCAGGUCAUCCUGACCCCGCCCGAGGCCCCAAACCUCAAAUUAGAAGAGCCGAAUGUGGAGCCGGGUUUGCGCCGCCCUUUGCCCCCGGAAGUGGAAGUGGAAGGGCCCGAGGAAGAGUUGGAAUUCGCGGGGGAAAGAGGGUUCGUGCCAGAAACCGCCAAGGCCGAGCCUGAAGUCCCUCCACAGGAGGGCGUGCCAGCCCCGCUGCCGAGGUCCUUAUGGACACCGCAGGGCAGGCGGGUGGCCACGCGGCUUCCAGCCCUCAGAUCCCGCCGCAGAAGGGCCGGAAGCCCCGGGACCUAAAGCUUCCACUCAGCCCGAGGCUGCUAGGGGCGCCGGGACCCGAACGGACCCCAGGAUCGGGAACUGGCUCCGGCCUCCAGGCGCCGAGGCCGGCGCUGACCCUGUCCCUGCUUCCUACGCACACGUUGACCCCUGCGCUGCUGACACCCAGCUCGCUGCCUCCCAGCGUUCACUUCCGGAGCAGCCUGAGUCCCCCCCCGCAGCCCGGCCAAGCUCUCCUGCCAGCUUCCGUCCAGUGGCGGCGCCCAGGUGCACAUCCCUUCCAUCGGCGUGGCUGGCCUCUCGACCCCCGCGGUGCUCUCGCCAGGGCCCCAGAAGCCAUGACCACCACCACCAGCACCACCACCCCUUCUGGGGUCCCUCCAUCCAUGCUCUCUCAAGGAGAAACACAGUUCAACUGUGAAAGACUCAUGCUCUGAUUGUGGUGGGGUGGGGAUCCUUGGGAAGAAUUUCUCCCAGGAGUGACUCUCAUUAACUCCUCCACAGAAAACACUCAGCUUCCACAGCUUCUCUCUUUUCUCUCUUUUCUGUCGGUCCCCCAGUGGCUGCCCUGACACAUCUCCUACUUCAAUGGUAGGGGCGGUUUAUUUAUUUUUUGAAGGCCACUGGGAAGCGCCUGACCUAACCUAUUAGGGUGGUCAGGACGUCUCCCCCACCUCCCCGCUUUUUCCCCCAAGACAAGAUAAGCGGGGUCUGGCUUGAGAACGACCUUUCUUUCUUCAUUCCUCGGCCUGCCCUUGGGGAGAUGAGGGAGCCCUGUGUCCAUUUUCGGAUCUUCCACCAAGGGCCCAUCGGUCUUCCCCUGGUGCCCUCCUCCAGGAGCACCUCUGAGGGCACAGCGGCCCUGGGCUGCCUGGUCAAGGACUACUACCCCGAACCGGUGACCGUGUCGUGGAACUCAGGUGCCCUGACAAGAAGCGUGCCCGCCUUCCCGGCUGUCCUACAGUCCUCAGGACUCUACUCCCUCAGCAGCGUGGUGACCGUGCCCUCCAGCAGCUUGGGCACCCAGACCUACACCUGCAACGUAGAUCACAAGCCCAGCAACACCAAGGUGGACAAGAGAGUUGAGCCCAAAACCCCAUGUUGCGACACAACUCACACAUGCCCACCGUGCGCAGCACCUGAACUCCUGGGGGGACCGUCAGUCUUCCUCUUCCCCCCAAAACCCAAGGAUACCCUCAUGAUCUCCCGGACCCCGGAGGUCACGUGCGUGGUGGUGGACCUGAGCCACGAAGACCCUGAGGUCAAGUUCAACUGGUACGUGGACGGCGUGGAGGUGCAUAAUGCCAAGACAAAGCCGCGGGAGGAGCAGUACAACAGCACGUUCCGUGUGGUCAGCGUCCUCACCGUCGUGCACCAGGACUGGCUGAACGGCAAGGAGUACAAGUGCAAGGUCUCCAACAAAGGCCUCCCAGCCCCCAUCGAGAAAACCAUCUCCAAAACCAAAGGGCAGCCCCGAGAGCCACAGGUGUACACCCUGCCCCCAUCCCGGGAGAAGAUGACCAAGAACCAGGUCAACCUGACCUGCCUGGUCAAAGGCUUCUACCCCAGCGACAUCGCCGUGGAGUGGGAGAGCAGCGGGCAGCCGGAGAACAACUACAACACCACGCCUACCAUGCUGGACUCCGACGGCUCCUUCUUCCUCUACAGCAAGCUCACCGUGGACAAGAGCAGGUGGCAGCAGGGGAACGUCUUCUCAUGCUCCGUGAUGCAUGAGGCUCUGCACAACCACUACACACAGAAGAGCCUCUCCCUGUCUCCGGAGCUGCAACUGGAGGAGAGCUGUGCGGAGGCGCAGGACGGGGAGCUGGACGGGCUGUGGACGACCAUCACCAUCUUCAUCACACUCUUCCUGCUAAGCGUGUGCUACAGUGCCACCGUCACCUUCUUCAAGGUGAAGUGGAUCUUCUCGGUGGUGGACCUGAAGCAGAACAUCGUCCCCGACUACAGGAACAUGAUCGGGCAGGGGGCCUAGGGCCACCCUUUGUGGGGUGUCCAGGGCCGCCCAGACCCCACACACGAGCCGUGGGCCAUGCUUAGCCACCACCCAGGCCACAUCUGCCCCCGACCUCACUGCCCUCAACCCCAUGGCUCUCUGGAUUCGCAGUCACCUUCUGACCCCUGACACGCCCCCCUUCCAGACCCUGUGCAUAGCAGGUCUACCCCAGACCUCCGCUGCUUGGUGCAUGCAGGGCGCUGGGGGCCAGGUGUCCCCUCAGCAGGGCGUCCCUGCCCUCCGGCCCGCCAGGUGCUCACACAAAAGGAGGCAGUGACUGGCAUCCCAGGCCCCCACCCAGGCAGGAGCUGGCCCUGGAGCCAACCCCGUCCAUGCCAGCCUCCUGAAAACAGGCGUGGUUUCCAGUUGGUGAGUGGGAGCAUCAGCCGCCAAGGUAGGGAAGCCACAGCACCAUCAGGCCCUGUUGGGGACGCUUCGGAGAGCUGCGAAGGCUCACUCAGACGGCCUUCCUCCCAGCCCGCAGCCAGCCAGCCUCCAUUCCCGGCCCUCCCGUGAACUCCUGACAUGAGGAAUGAGGUUGUUCUGAUUUCAAGCAAAGAAAGCUGCUCUCUGGCUCCUGGGAACAGUCUCGGUGCCAGCACCACCCCUUGGCUGCCUGCCCACACUGCUGGAUUCUCGGGUGGAACUCGACCCGCAGGGACAGCCAGCCCCAGAGUCCGCACUGGGGAGAGAAGGGGCCAGGCCCAGGACACUGCCACCUCCCACCCACUCCAGUCCACCGAGAUCACUCGGAGAAGAGCCUGGGCCAUGUGGCUGCUGCAGGAGCCCCACAGUGCAAGGGUGAGGAUAGCCCAAGGAAGGGCUGGGCAUCUGCCCAGACAGGCCUCCCAGAGAAGGCUGGUGACCAGCUCCCAGGCAGGCAAGACUCAGCCUUGGUGGGGCCUGAGGACAGAGGAGGCCCAGGAGCAUCGGGGAGAGAGGUGGAGGGACACCGGGAGAGCCAGGAGCGUGGACACAGCCAGAACUCAUCACAGAGGCUGGCGUCCAGCCCCGGGUCACGUGCAGCAGGAACAAGCAGCCACUCUGGGGGCACCAGGUGGAGAGGCAAGACGACAAAGAGGGUGCCCGUGUUCUUGCGAAAGCGGGGCUGCUGGCCACGAGUGCUGGACAGAGGCCCCCACGCUCUGCUGCCCCCAUCACGCCGUUCCAUGACUGUCACGCAGAAUCCGCAGACAGGAAGGGAGGCUCGAGCGGGAGUGCGGCCAGCGCCUGCCUCGGCCGUCAGGGAGGACUCCCGGGCUCACUCGAAGGAGGUGCCACCAUUUCAGCUUUGGUAGCUUUUCUUCUUCUUUUAAAUUUUCUAAAGCUCAUUGUCUUUGAUGUUUCUUUUGUGAUGACAAUAAAAUAUCCUUUUUAAGUCUUGUACUUC